UACGUAGGGACCAAGCGUUGUCCGGAAUCAUUGGGCGUAAAGAGCGUGUAGGCGGCUUGUUAAGUCUUGCGUGAAAUCUCGGGGCUCAACCCCGAGCGGUCGUGAGAAACUGGCAGGCUAGAGUGCGGGAGAGGAGAGUGGAAUUCCUGGUGUAGCGGUGAAAUGCGCAGAUAUCUGGAGGAAUACCGGUGGCGAAGGCGGCAUCCUGGACCGGCAUUGACGCUGAUGUGCGAAAGCUAGGGGAGCAAACGGG
rnacentral:rRNA from 1 species